GGGGGUAUAGGUUCAGUGGCAGAGCAUUCGACUGCAGAUCGAGAGACCCUGUUCAAAUCUGGCUGCUGCCU
rnacentral:tRNA from 1 species